AAUUAAAAUAAAUAGACGAAAAUUAAUAUAAAAUAUUAAUUUUUACACAAUAAUUCUAAUCAUGUUAUUCUUCCUUCCCUAUAUAUAAAAACACCCUCCAUUCAUCCAUGGAUCAUCUUCAAGGUAUCCCAACUCUCAAAUUCACUCUAAAAAAAUCAAAAAAGCCUAAUCUCAACCAAACAUCUUCAAUUUCUCUCCAACAAAAACUGUCCUUCAGAAACUCUAGUCCAAUUCCCUGAUCCUCAACUUCCAUCUUCAUACGCUUUCUUCCAUUUCUUCACUCCUUGCCAAGAAAACAAAAGCACCAAUUAGUAAUAAAAUAACACAAGACGAUAAGUAGCCCGAGUUGUAGCGUAUACUUCAGAAAUCUAUAGAGAUGUUUGAAUAUCAGAAUCUUGUGAUUCAAAGUUCAACCAUUUCUAUCGACGUUCUGCUAUACGACGAACCUCGUCCCAUAGAUUUCAAUCUAACUUCUGUUAUUAUAUAUUAGCUUCUUACUUAUCUAUCUAUAUGUUAACACUAACCAACAAGCUAACACUUUGAUUUUUAGCUUUUCAUCUAUAAUAUGCAGAUACUCACCUAAACAUUACAUCCACAUCAUAUUCAAGCACCAUAUUCACAUCAUAUUUAUUGAAAAUGAGAGUAGUCAAGUUUCUCAACUAUCUACCAAUUUCAGUAAAAAGACCAAUAUCAAAAUUUGAAAAUUAUCAUGUUACAAGCUGGAGCAUAUUUAAUAAAUUAAACUAAGAAGUACACAUCCUUACCUUUUUCAAACUUGAAGAAUUUUCAUUUUUAUUUUCACUGAUUUCUUUUUUAGGAAACCAACCUUUCCUGAAAAAUCCACUAAAAUUAAUCACUUUUUCUGAUUAAAAUUAGUGUGUAGAGGAAGAAGAAAUGGAAAAUAGGGGAAAGAGAGGAGAGGCGGCGACGGCGACGUCGUCACUGGAGGAAAAAAGAGGGAGAAACGAAGGAGGAAAAAGAGGGAGGAGAAAAAGAGGAGAGGCGACAGUACCGCCGCAGCAGUUGGAGUGAAAAAGAGGAAAAAAGAAAAAAAAGGAGGACAAAAUAAAUGAAGGAGAAGGAAGAGGGGACAAAAAAAAAGAGGGAAAAGAUAUGAGAGGCAGCGGCGGAGCUGUCGUCGCUGGAGAGAGAAAGACGGAAAAAGAAGGGAAAGGAGGAGGAGAAAAGAAAAGAAGAAAAAGAUGGAGGGGACAAAAAAAGGAGGAGAAAGAGAGGAGAUGCGGCGGCCGCAACGCUGUCGCCACAGUAGAAAGAGGGGAAGAAAAGAAAAAGAAGGAGCAAGAGGAGUGGCGGCGGCAACGACGCCGUCACCUGAUGGAGGAGUGUAGAGAGAAGGGAGAGGAUUUGGG
rnacentral:lncRNA from 1 species